rnacentral:rRNA from 1 species
AUUGAACGCUGGCGGCAUGCCUUACACAUGCAAGUCGAACGGCAGCAUGGGUGCUUGCACCUGAUGGCGAGUGGCGAACGGGUGAGUAAUACAUCGGAACGUGUCCUUGAGUUUGGGAUAACGCGGCGAAAGUUGCGCUAAUACCGAAUACACUCUGAGGAGGAAAGCGGGGGAUCGCAAGACCUCGCGCUCUAGGGUCGGCCGAUGUUGGAUUAGCUUGUUGGUGGGGUAAAAGCCUACCAAGGCUGCGAUCCAUAGCGGGUCUGAGAGGAUGAUCCGCCACACUGGGACUGAGACACGGCCCAGACUCCUACGGGAGGCAGCAGUGGGGAAUUUUGGACAAUGGGGGCAACCCUGAUCCAGCCAUGCCGCGUGAGUGAAGAAGGCCUUCGGGUUGUAAAGCUCUUUCGGUGGGGAAGAAAUUGCAUACUCUAAUACAGUGUGUAGAUGACGGUACCCGCAUAAGAAGCACCGGCUAACUACGUG